GAGGAUAUAGUUCAAGUGGUAGAGCACAUGCUUAGCAUACACAAGGUCCUGGGUUCAAUCCCCAGUAUCUCCU
rnacentral:tRNA from 1 species